rnacentral:rRNA from 1 species
UACGAAGGGGCUAGCGUUGCUCGGAAUCACUGGCGUAAAGCGCACGUAGGCGGAUUGCUAAGUCAGGGGUGAAAUCCUGGAGCUCAACUCCAGAACUGCCUUUGAUACUGGCGACCUUGAGUCCGGGAGAGGUGAGUGGAACUGCGAGUGUAGAGGUGAAAUUCGUAGAUAUUCGCAAGAACACCAGUGGCGAAGGCGGCUCACUGGCCCGGUACUGACGCUGAGGUGCGAAAGCGUGGGAGCGAACGAGGA